CCUUCUCUUCUCUUUGGUUUACAGAGGCUCUGAAUACCAACCUUCCUCCAUCGGCGUUCGGAUUUCGGAGCCUGGCACAGUCCACCGGCCACAGCUUUGUUGAUCAAGCAGGGAGCAUCUUCUACGCCUUGUCGUUCAAGCCCGGCCACAGUCUUGGAAAACCUAGCUUUUCUGGUUCAUCUUCUUCCUCAACGAUUGGAGCUUUGCUGUUGAAUCCAAGAUGGAUUUUGAAGAUAUGACACCAGAAAAUCAUGACUUUGUUGGAGGAAAGACGUCAACUAAUUUCCAAUGGACACCCAUGAUGACCUCGUUUAUGUUGACAUCUCUAGUUGAGCAAGCAAACCUUGGGCUUAACUCUGACAAAGGAUUUAACAGUGUUGCUAUCAAUGCCAUUGCUAGGGCCGUUGGCGCAAGAUUCAACUUGGUGGUAAGUGACACACAUGUCAAUAAUCGUUUGCGGCAUGUGAGGAAAAUAUGGUUAAUAAUGAAGAAGAUCAAAGGUUUAAGUGGUGUGUCAUGGGAUGAUGUGGAAAAAAAAUAAUUAUGGGGGAGGAAGAAUACCGAACAUACAUACAAGCACAUCCUUGGGGAAGAGAUUUAUAUUAACAAACCAAUUCAAGACUAUGAAGAGAUGACAAUUGUAUGUGGAAAUGAUCAAGCAACGGGAUCUUUUGCAAGAACAGGAUCUCAAAGCUCUAGAAGCUUAGGUGCGCGUAUGGAACAACAACCACCAACACCAAUAAUUGACCUUGACAACCAAACCCAAGGGUUUAAUGAUUUUGAUGAGGUUGGACAAAGUCAAUCUCCUAUCAACGAUGCACCGACAAGUUCUACCUCCAAGGCUAAGGAUGGUAAAAAACGAACAAAACGUGCUAAGGCGGAUGAAGAAAUUAUGCGAGAUGUUAAAUUCGAGUUGGGUAGGAUUGCAAAUGCACUAGAGGCGGACAAGAGUAAAUUUAUUAACAAAGAUUUAUUUGAUGAGAUCAUGACAUUGAGUGAUCGUUAUACCGAAUAUGAGCUUGGACGAGCAUAUGAUUAUCUACUUCAAAAUCUCCCUUUAGCAAAUGGGUUCAUGAACAAAACCCAUUCCUUCUGGUGCAUUUGGAUGGAUGAUUUUUCUUGAUCAAGUAAGGGAUGGUCGAGCUUGAGUUGUUAUAACAAUUGUGGGUGUUAACUAGAUUGUUAUUUUGUCUUGUCAUAUUUAGCUUUCUAUGUGACAUGAACAAUGUGGUAUUUUUUUUUUCCUUGUUUGGACAAUUGUGAUGUUGUAUUUUUUUUUCUUGUUUGGACGAUGUGAUGCUCGGACAAGUGUGAUUUUGUAUUUUAAUUUGAUGUUUGGACAA